CCUACGGGGGACAGCAGUAGGGAAUCUUCCACAAUGGGCGAAAGCCUGAUGGAGCAACGCCGCGUGGGUGAAGAAGGUCUUCGGGGUGUAAAGUUCUGUCAGUGGGGACGAAAAAUGACGGUACCCACAGAGGAAGCACCGGCUAACUCCGUGCCAGCAGCCGCGGUAAUACGGGGGGUGCAAGCGUUGUCCGGAAUCAUUGGGCGUAAAGAGUUCGUAGGCGGCAUGUAAAGUCAGGUGUUAAAGGCGCAGGCUCAACCUGUGUAUGGCACUUGAUACUUGCAAGCUGGAAUGCGGUAGAGGUAAAGGGAAUUCCUGGUGUAGCGGUGAAAUGCUUAGAUAUCAGGAGGAACAUCGGUGGCGUAAGCGCUUUACUGGGCCGUAAUUGACGCUGAGGAACGAAAGCCAGGGUAGCAAAUGGGAUUAGAUACCCGGGUAGUC
rnacentral:rRNA from 1 species